GAUGAACGCUGGCGGCGUGCCUAACACAUGCAAGUCGAGCGAUUUACUUCGGUAAAGAGCGGCGGACGGGUGAGUAACGCGUGGGUAACCUGCCCUGUACACACGGAUAACAUACCGAAAGGUAUGCUAAUACGAGAUAAUAUGCUUUUAUCGCAUGGUAGAAGUAUCAAAGCUUUUGCGGUACAGGAUGGACCCGCGUCUGAUUAGCUAGUUGGUAAGGUAACGGCUUACCAAGGCGACGAUCAGUAGCCGACCUGAGAGGGUGAUCGGCCACAUUGGAACGGAGACACGGUCCAAACUCCUACGGGAGGCAGCGGUGGGGAAUAUUGCACAAUGGGCGAAAGCCUGAUGCAGCAACGCCGCGUGAGCGAUGAAGGCCUUCGGGUCGUAAAGCUCUGUCCUCAAGGAAGAUAAUGACGGUACUUGAGGAGGAAGCCCCGGCUAACUACGUGCCAGCCGCCGCGGUAAAAC
rnacentral:rRNA from 1 species